rnacentral:rRNA from 1 species
UGAUAGUCGAACGGCGGCUCAACACAGCAAUCGAGCGGAAACGAGUUAACUGAACUUCGGGGGAACGUUAACGGCGUCGAGCGGCGGACGGGUGAGUAAUGCCUGGGAAAUUGCCCUGAUGUGGGGGAUAACCAUUGGAAACGAUGGCUAAUACCGCAUAAUAGCUUCGGCUCAAAGAGGGGGACCUUCGGGCCUCUCGCGUCAGGAUAUGCCCAGGUGGGAUUAGCUAGUUGGUGAGGUAAUGGCUCACCAAGGCGACGAUCCCUAGCUGGUCUGAGAGGAUGAUCAGCCACACUGGAACUGAGACACGGUCCAGACUCCUACGGGAGGCAGCAGUGGGGAAUAUUGCACAAUGGGCGCAAGCCUGAUGCAGCCAUGCCGCGUGUGUGAAGAAGGCCUUCGGGUUGUAAAGCACUUUCAGCAGUGAGGAAGGUGGUGUCGUUAAUAGCGGCAUCAUUUGACGUUAGCUGCAGAAGAAGCACCGGCUAACUCCGUGCCAGCAGCCGCGGUUAAUAA